rnacentral:rRNA from 1 species
AUGAUACAUGGUCCCUGUGGUCAAGCGUACCCAAAAUCACCAUGCAUGGUCGAUAAAAGUUGUGCCAAACAUUUCCCCAAGAGUUUUUGCACUGAAACUACAAUAGAUGAAGAUAACUAUCCAGUAUAUAGAAGACGAGAUGAUGGCAAUACUGUGGACAAAAACGGAGUGAAGCUAGACAAUAGAUUUGUUGUGCCAUACAAUAGAAACAUACUGGUCAAGUAUCAAGCCCACAUAAAUGUUGAAUGGUGCAAUAGAUCAAGGUCUAUAAAGUAUUUAUUCAAAUACAUCCACAAAGAAGAAGAUCGAACAACUGUAUUAAUAGAAACAGAAGAGCAACAAGGAGAAACAAGAGGUGGCAAAUUAACAAACAGGGACGACGAAAUCAAGAGAUACAUUGAUGCUCGGUACAUAUCUGGAUGUGAAGCCGCAUAG